CUGCUCGGCGAUGACGAAAUCCUCAGCUACAUGUUUGUCGGGCUGGGCCUGGAAUACGAGCACCUUGUGGCAUCGAUCACGGCUCGGGAGGAGACCGUUAGUCUCAACAGUUUCUAUUGCUUCUUCCUCAGUACCGAGC
rfam:Triticum aestivum genome assembly, contig: Triticum_aestivum_CS42_TGACv1_scaffold_158493_2DL